rnacentral:rRNA from 1 species
GCUAGUUGGUGAGGUAACGGCUCACCAAGGCCACGAUGCAUAGCCGACCUGAGAGGGUGAUCGGCCACACUGGGACUGAGACACGGCCCAGACUCCUACGGGAGGCAGCAGUAGGGAAUCUUCGGCAAUGGACGAAAGUCUGACCGAGCAACGCCGCGUGAGUGAAGAAGGUUUUCGGAUCGUAAAACUCUGUUGUUAGAGAAGAACAAGGACGUUAGUAACUGAACGUCCCCUGACGGUAUCUAACCAGAAAGCCACGGCUAACUACGUGCCAGCAGCCGCGGUAAUACGUAGGUGGCAAGCGUUGUCCGGAUUUAUUGGGCGUAAAGCGAGCGCAGGCGGUUUCUUAAGUCUGAUGUGAAAGCCCCCGGCUCAACCGGGGAGGGUCAUUGGAAACUGGGAGACUUGAGUGCAGAAGAGGAGAGUGGAAUUCCAUGUGUAGCGGUGAAAUGCGUAGAUAUAUGGAGGAACACCAGUGGCGAAGGCGGCUCUCUGGUCUGUAACUGACGCUGAGGCUCGAAAGCGUGGGGAGCAAAC